UCUUUGUUUGUAUGUGGUGCUGAGGAUCGAACCCGGGCCACAUGCAUGCCAGGCGAGCGCGCUACCGCUUGAAGUCCAACUUCUUUAUGGGAAAGAAAUCUGAAGAAUGUGUCCCUAUCCUGUAGAAAAUUGGCUGUUCCGAGACAACCCUAAGAAGACCUACAGGCAGCAUUGGCAGGCUGGAAACAGAAUUCUAGGAAUCCGAGGAUUGUGGCUGAGGAGAGAAAGGAGGUUGUCUAGGAGCCCAGACCCCUCUGCCAGACCCCGGAGAGUCAUUGAGAAUAGUCUUAGGUGAAGCCUGGAGGCUGCAGCCCAGAUCAGCAAAAUCUACUCUGCCCCCGUGAAGAGCAGGACCCUGGGAUUAUCCAGGGGCCAGGCUGUCCUUCGUGAAGAGUUCAGUGUCUGUCACCUGUGAAGUGGCUUUUCCCCAGAAGUUCUGAAGCACAUGUCAUUAGAACUUUACCCGAUGAGGAAACUGAGGCUGGAGAGGCAUCCGAGGCUGCAUAAAGCCAGGCCUACCGACCCACUGCUGUGUUCUCCCUGAAAAUCAACAAGUGCAGCACUUUAAUGGAGCACUGUCUUCCUCGCAAUGGCAAAAGCAGCACUAGAACCCAUGAAGUUCCCAUCAGGAAGCUCUGCAGUAUGAGUGUUAUGACUGAUCUCAGAUGUUGAAAGAAACCCAACUCCAAGAAUUAGACUUCACUCAACCGAGCAAAGCAUGCAAUACAAGCCUGUGUCUCCACUCACCCUUGAAAGGAUGCGAAGGACAGCCUCCCUGAGGCUCCAGUUCCUGCAGUCUGGGAGCCCAGUGGGAGACUGAGGCCCUAUGCAGUUCUGAAUUGUGGAUCUGUGGGUGGGUGGUCCUGUGAGGGUGUGUGUGUGUGUGU